ensembl:rRNA 5S_rRNA 5S ribosomal RNA
GCUUACGGCUACACCCCCUUGAGCAUGCCUGAUUUCGUUUGAUCUCGGAAGCUAAGCAGGGACGGGCCUGGUUAGUUCUUGGAUGGGAGACUGGCUGGGAAUACCAGGUGCUGUAAGCU